rnacentral:rRNA from 1 species
CCUACGGGAGGCAGCAGUGGGGAAUAUUGCGCAAUGGGCGCAAGCCUGACCCAGCAACGCCGCGUGAAGGAAGAAGGCUUUCGGGUUGUAAACUUCUUUUGUCAGGGAAGAGUAGAAGACGGUACCUGACGAAUACGCCACGGCUAACUACGUGCCAGCAGCCGCGGUAAUACGGAGGGGGCAAGCGUUGUCCGGAUUUACUGGGUGUAAAGGGCGUGUAGCCGGGUUGACAAGUCAGAUGUGAAAUCCUGCGGCUUAACCGCAGAACUGCAUUUGAAACUGUUGAUCUUGAGUACUGGAGAGGCAGACGGAAUUCCUGGUGUAGCGGUGAAAUGCGUAGAGAUUAGGAGGAACACUAGUGGCGAAGGCGGUCUGCUGGACAGCAACUGACGGUGAGGCGCGAAAGCGUGGGGAGCAAACAGGAUUAGAUACCCUUGUAGUC